rnacentral:rRNA from 1 species
GUGGGGAAUAUUGGACAAUGGGCGAAAGCCUGAUCCAGCCAUGCCGCGUGUGUGAAGAAGGUCUUCGGAUUGUAAAGCACUUUAAGUUGGGAGGAAGGGCAGUAAGUUAAUACCUUGCUGUUUUGACGUUACCGACAGAAUAAGCACCGGCUAACUUCGUGCCAGCAGCCGCGGUAAUACGAAGGGUGCAAGCGUUAAUCGGAAUUACUGGGCGUAAAGCGCGCGUAGGUGGCUUUGUAAGUUGGAGGUGAAAUCCCCGGGCUCAACCUGGGAACUGGCUCGAAGACUGCAUGACUAGAGUACGGUAGAGGGUAGUGGAAGUUCCUGUGUAGCGGUGAAAUGCGUAGAUAUAGGAAGGAACACCAGUGGCGAAGGCGACUACCUGGACUGAUACUGACACUGAGGUGCGAAAGCGUGGGGAGCAAACAGGAUUAGAAACCCUAGUAGUCC